CCUUCACCUUAGCCAAAUGAGUUCAUUGAUGAUGCAUA
rnacentral:sRNA from 1 species